rnacentral:lncRNA from 1 species
GACUACAGUGGUAACCAGAAUACAGUGAAUCGGCUUCCCAAAAUAUUGUUAGAAUUUUGGUGAAAAAUUGAACAACCUCUUCCUGCUACGAUUCAGAGUAGCAGUCUAUUAAACUGUCAUGUUGUGACAUUAAUCUCUAUAAUUUAUUUUUUUCUUUUUAAGAAUUUUAGUACUAUUGGACAAACCCCAGUGCACUAUUUAAGAAACAAUACACAUUAUUCGCAAUAGCAAAGAGUUGGAGCUACUUUCUACUUCUAGAGGUUUUUGUCAUCUGGAGACACUGGAAAUGGAAAGCAAGAUUAUCUGUGGAACUCAGUGAGUCCUACCUUAUAUAUUCUCUAAUUUCUCUAACUUUGUUUUAAAAAAUUAACAAUAAAAAGCUC